rnacentral:rRNA from 1 species
UACGGGGGGGGUAAGCGUUGUUCGGAAUUACUGGGCGUAAAGGGCUCGUAGGCGGCCAACUAAGUCAUACGUGAAAUCCCUCAGCUUAACUGGGGAACUGCGUCCGAUACUGGUUGGCUUGAAUCCGGGAGAGGAAUGUGGAAUUCCGGGUGUAGCGGUGAAAUGCGCAGAUAUCAGGAGGAACACCGGUGGCGAAGGCGGUUCUCUGGGCAUUACCUGACGCUGAGGAGCGAAAGUGUGGGGAGCGAACAGG